CCCUCACCAAUGCUUCUAGUGUUGUUUUUAUUCUUCAUGGUCCAUUUUUCAGGGGUCGUUUGGUGCAGGACGGAGAUCCACCAGCCCUCUGCCAUGCAGGGAUUUGUUGGCAGAGAGCUGAACCUUUCUUGCAGCUAUCCUUCUAUUUCAACAGAAACCAUCUACUGGUACCAGCAGCUCCCUAAUGGGGCUCCUCGGUACCUCAUAUCAGCAUACAAUGGGGAGGUGAAGAGCAAAGACCCCCGGGGGGCCUUGUAUAUUGCCAAAGAUCGAAAGGAAAGCACCUUCUCCUUCGCCGAGCUUCGCCUGCAGGAUUCGGCAGUGUAUCUCUGUGCCCUGCAAGACACAGUGGUACAUUCAGCCUCUGCUGCUCUGCAGUAAUUCUUUCAUCCUGGUGGGGAAGGAGGUAGCAUCAGUGAGGAGGAGGAAGAGACCAAGGAA